UCAGGAUGGCCCAGCAGGCCCUUCCACGGUGCGUACAUGGGCUCUUUGUGGACAACAGUCUUGGCCUCGCUAGAGCUGGGCUUUGAGCCAGUUGGCAGUGCCCGUUCUACCUGUCCAGUCUCCAGUCUCAGUGGCAUUUGCCUCAGGAAGGCGGCAAAACCUUGUGCUUUUUACCUUGGCCAAGUAUUUUCUGCAGAUACCGUCUUUUAUUUUUAGUUUUGUGCGUGUUUCAGUUUUAGCAGGUUAUCCAAAACCCAGCAAGUUUUCCAGCUUAAUUAUAGCCAUUCUAAGAAAGCAUUUCCUCUGCUCUCCACCAGCUUCCCUUACAGCCCUUUUUAAAAGGCAUUGCUUUUUCAUUUUGGCUUUGGACUUCUAAACAGAUUUGGAGAGCCCGUUUUCAUACCAGUUAUUAUAUUUACUUCUUGUGAUUAGAUUUCUGUUCAGAACGUCCCAUCUAAACUGUCGAAUUCUGACAGAAAUUACUCUAAUCGUGGAAGAUCCUCUGAAAAGAGCAGUGACAAUAUACUUUUCUUGGGAAUUCUUUUUAAUGCAGCAUCCAAAAUGCCUUCAAUGCUGCUUCUGGGCUGCCAGGACAAAUAUUACUUCCAUGACUGUAGCUCUGAAUCUUGGCAGUAGGGAAAGUUUCGGAAAUUCUUGGAUGUCUCCUUUGAUAACGCAUGUAUCUGCCCAUGCAUGCAUGUCCUACGGCUGCCUGCGCUGUGCGCUUUCUGGGGUGCUCCUGUAGGUCCCAGAGCCAGAAUGCCUUGCCCCAGCCCUUCUAAUGGGGUGGGGGGGUGCUGGCUUUGUUUCUACCUCUGGGGCGUGAAGAGGCUCAGUGUUCCUUUUCUGCUUCUGGUGCAUAGCCCCCCAGGGCUGUGUCUUGGAAGCUAUGUUCAGGGCACCAUGGCUGGCUGUUGUGAACUGGCGGGCAUUCUGAAGCAAUUCAGCAUAGGCUUUGCUCAAAUGUAAGCAUCAGGCCUCUGGAUUCCAGUUUUCUGGCAGGGGUCUCAGGGCUGGUGGAGAGCCCCACGGAGUUCUUAUUUUACCUCUCUUUGUGGUUCCCCCUUGUCUUCUGCUCUUCUCUUGGGGACGGAUUUACGUAUCGAUUUAUUGAGUGAGCCCACUGUGUGGGUUUCACGUAGCAUUUACGUGGACGAGAUAAAACAUUUCUUGUCACUUUGUCAGCGAGACGUCUGGGAAACCCCAGCCUGCCCUACCCAGCACAUUCAUUCUGGCAGAAGUUUUCGUCAAGGCUGAAAUUAUUUAUUCCUCUUGCCUCUAGGGCCCAUAAAGUAACUGUGCCUUUGAAGUUUGCUUCCUUAACUAGUUCAGUGACUCAGAACCUCAACAUUGCCAUCAACAAACUUCCUCUCCCUGGGCUGGCUCUUUCAUAAUAGGAUCCAAUUUAGGAUACCACGCUGCUUUGGGGAAACCUUGAAUUUUAAGAGAACUUUCAGAGUCCCCAUGGAGGAUUUGACCCAAGAUGGAAACGAUUUUCUCUGUAUUUUCUCUCAUUUUUACUACCAAAGUGCCGUGAACAUUAAGCGUUCUUUAAAGUUUUGUGGCUUCCAUGAACCCUUAUUUGCUUCCUUGGGAUGUUAAUGCCAGACAAGUUGAAGCGGUGCGAGGAUUUUGGAAUAAAAAUACUGACAAGUUG